UGGAGUAAGGACAUGGUUCCUGUCCUCUCCUCCCGUCUAGUCACGCCGCCGCGAAAGUUUUCUGUUUUGCUGGUGCUCGCUCCUAACCUUUCCUUAUCCAUUACUGACCCGUGAUAUGUUGCGCUGUCAGUACUGGUUAACCAUGGAUGCUUAUUCUUCACACCAAGUACUGUUUAUUAAUGUUUUAAAGUGAAGUCAGUCUUAACAUUACUGGAAGUUCACGGACAUUUUUAAAGCAUUACAAAUUUUUAUAGGUCCUCUUCCUGGCCUUACUUGGUAGAUCAUCAGGCAACCCUCAAUAGGUGUGGCACAGGUGUCAGGGGGUGGCCUUGACCACACCUUACACCUGUUGAUUGGCGACUUGAUUCUCCUCACCACCUGCCCGUGACCCUCGCAGAUAAGGCGUCGUCAGGGGGCCCCAGCAUGGCGGUCAGGGGAACAUGGGCGUGUGUGGGGGCGGCGUGUGGUAUCCCGCCCUUCCUCCGCCUCCUUCUCCUGGUGCUGCUGACGGUGUCCUUACAGUGUCGUGUCGCCUGGGCCGCCCUUCUCCGGCCGGUCAACACUGAUGGAUCGUGUGAGCCCAGGUGGUUCCACUGUGGGGAGAACGGAACGAUGUGUGUGGAGCAGAGGUUUGUGUGUGACAGAGACGAAGACUGUCCCUCUGGUGAAGACGAACUCAAUUGCC